GAUGAACGCUGGCGGUACGUCUGACACAUGCAAGUCGAACGGCAAGCCACCUUCGGGUGGCCUAGAGUGGCGAACGGCUGAGUAACACGUAGGAACUUACCCCUCAGUUCGGGAUAACGGGACGAAAGCCCCGCUAAUACCGGAUAAUAUCGAAAGAUUGAAAGGUUUACUGCUGAGGGAGAGGCCUGCGGGCUAUUAGCUAGAUGGUGGGGUAAUGGCUCACCAUGGCGAUGAUGGCUAGCUGGUCUGAGAGGAUGAUCAGCCAGACUGGGACUGAGACACGGCCCAGACUCCUACGGGAGGCAGCAGUUCAGAAUCUUGCACAAUGGGCGAAAGCCUGAUGCAGCGAUACCGCGUGGGU
rnacentral:rRNA from 1 species